rnacentral:rRNA from 1 species
UACGUAGGGUGCGGGCGUUAAUCGGAAUUACUGGGCGUAAAGCGUGCGCAGGCGGCCUCUUAAGUCAGAUGUGAAAUCCCCGGGCUUAACCUGGGAACUGCGUUUGAAACUGGGAGGCUUGAGUGUGGAAGAGGGGGGUGGAAUUCCAGGUGUAGCAGUGAAAUGCGUAGAGAUCUGGAGGAACACCGAUGGCGAAGGCAGCCCCCUGGGCUGACACUGACGCUCAUGCACGAAAGCGUGGGGAGCAAACAGG